rnacentral:tRNA from 1 species
AGAAAAUUAGUUGAACAAAAUAACAUUGAUAUGUCAUAAUAAAAUAAUUAAACUUAAAAUAAUAUUUUAA